CUACUUGAUCUUGAUGAUCCCAUUUUAAUAUCAAUUUUUCAAGAUGUUGCUUCUCCCUUAAAUUCACAACAAUGGAUUCUGAGUUAGUUUCUUCCAACCGUUCCAAAUGUGAGAUCUCUAAUGUUCCUCUCAGGUUGUUUAGCUCCUUCAAUUCGCCUAAUCCACCAGUGUCGGAGGAGGUGCUCACAAUGAAUAUUGGUAAUGUUUGAAGUGAAGUCAUUUGCCCUAAUCCACAAGGCAUAUGACUCAAAUUAUCACAACCAUGAUUAUAAAGAUGUUUGAGGCUAACCAAUUCUCUUAUGUCUUUGGGUAAUUCUUUAAGACCUUUACAAUCAUUAAGUUUUAAUGUUUGCAAAUUCAACAAUGUAGUAAUUGACUUAGGGAGAGUUUCAAUAUCCUCAUUAAAAGAAA